GUCAAGAAGCUAUGAACCAACGCUAGCCUUUUAAGCUAGAGAAAGUGGGAUCUUCCCCUCCUCGACGAG
rnacentral:tRNA from 1 species